rnacentral:antisense_RNA from 1 species
AGUGGGAGUGAGCCUGCUCGCGAUAGCGGUGUGUCAUUCAGCAUUAAUGUCGACUGACACACCGCUAUCGCGAGCAGGCUCACUCCCACA